CCUACGGGCGGCAGCAGUGAGGAAUAUUGGUCAAUGGGCGCGAGCCUGAACCAGCCAAGUCGCGUGAGGGAAGACGGUCCUAUGGAUUGUAAACCUCUUUUGUCGGGGAGCAAAAGACGCCACGCGUGGCGUUCCGAGAGUACCCGAAGAAAAAGCAUCGGCUAACUCCGUGCCAGCAGCCGCGGUAAUACGGGGGAUGCGAGCGUUAUCCGGAUUUAUUGGGUUAAAAGGGUGCGCAGGCGGAAGAUCAAGUCAGCGGUAAAAUUGAGAGGCUCAACCUCUUCGAGCCGUUGAAACUGGUGUUCUUGAGUGAGUGAGAAGUAUGCGGAAUUCGUGGUGUAGCGGUGAAAUGCAUAGAUAUCACGCAGAACUCCGAUUGCGAAGGCAGCAUACCGGCGCUCAACUGACGCUCAUGCACGAAAGUGUGGGUAUCGAACAGGAUUAGAUACCCCUGUAGUC
rnacentral:rRNA from 1 species